rnacentral:lncRNA from 1 species
AUGGGGAACCUACAACCACACUCCAAAGGCAGAGCAGGAGGUAGGCUGUGCCUUGUGCUCAGCAGGGCACCAAUGUCCCAAGCCAGGAAUCAUCAAGCCUCAACCCUGCAAUACUGGCAGCUUCUCUGGCACCUUCCGAGAGGCUCCUGGGGCUGCUCGUGUGGAGGACUGCCAGCUGUGUCUCCCUGGAGCCUUCUGUGGCAAAGCUGGCCUGGCCAAGCCCCAGGGACUGUGCCACCCAGGCCAUUACUGUGGACCUGGCUCCAGCACUGCAACCCCAGAUUUCACUGCCCAGGAGGAGCACUCACUCCAAGACCACUGGGAGGACCUUGGAGACACCUUGGAAGACCCCUAGUGGCCAUGUCCAAUCUGAACAGAGAGCACAGGAAUGGCACAGGAGCUGAGGCUGUCCACCCUGAUGAAGAGGCCCAUGCAACCACAGGAGGUCCCUGUCCUGUAGGCCACUUCUGCCCAGUGGGAACUGGAAUGCCUCUCCCCUGCCCUGUGGGUACCUUUUCAGACCGGAUGUUCCUCUCCAAGGCCUCUGAGUGCCUGUCCUGUCCCCCUGGACAUUUCUGCGCAGCAUCUGGCCUCAUUACUCCCUCAGGACUCUGUGCCCCUGGCUACUUUUGUCUAGUGGGAGCUUCCUCCCCAACUCCAACAGGCCUCUCAGAGCGUGGGGGUCCCUGUCCCCGAGGCCACUUCUGCCCCUGGGGAACCAGCCUCCCACAGCCCUGUCUCUCCGGCUCCUACAGCACCCUCCCUGGCCAAGCCUCCUGCUUCACCUGCCCUGCUGGCUACUAUUGUCCAGAGAACAUGACCGACUAUAGAGAGCACCCCUGCCCUGCUGGCUUCUACUGCCCUCCAGGCACCAAGUACGCCACCCAGUUCCCCUGCCCACGGGGCUACUACAACCCAGACUCACUGACUCACAGCCUGGACAGCUGCUUGCCCUGCCCCCCAGGCCACUACUGUGGGCAAGAGAACCUGACCAAGGCUUCAGGACCCUGUGAUGCAGGCUGGUUCUGUGUGCUGGCGGCAUGGACUGCCCGUCCCUUUGACCUGGACAACUACACCAGCACCAACUGCCUGUGCCCAGCCACAGCCACAGGGGGAAAGUGCCCAGCUGGCUCCUACUGCCCCAUGGGCAGCCCAGAACCUACGCCCUGUCCACCAGGUUCCUUCUGUGCCACCUCUGGCCUCUCCAUACCCAGUGGCCCCUGCCAGGCUGGCUACUUCUGUGCAGGAGGUUCUAUGUCUCCAGCUCCUGAGGAUGACAUUACAGGGGCCCCUUGCCCUCCAGGUUCCUUUUGUAGUAAGUAUCUCCUUUGAUCCAUCUCAGCCCA